AAAGAUGAGUAGUUAAGAAAAUAUGUUGCAUUUUAGAGGCGGCAAUUACAUCAAACACCUUAUCUGCAUGUUCCUCGUUUCAUCCAGGAUAAGGUAUGUGACUUAAAAAAUCAAAUGCAUAUAUAACUUGCAUCUACCCACUCCACACAUUCAACUUUGGAUUCCAACCUAAAUCUUUGAAUCAUCAAAGCAAUCUCACUAUUACAUUCAUACCGUAUAAUCUUCGUUAAUAAGUGGAUAAGAACUGGACGUUUCGUUAACUUAAGAGAGAGAGAGAGAGAUACGUUUAUAGUAAUUGGGCGGAAAGAUACAACACGUGGAGUAGGGCGGGAGGCUGGGGCGGACGCACGCCUUUCUUUUUAGCUGGAAAUUAUUCUCUCAAUCCUUCUCAGCGGCGGCGCGAACUGGUGCUGGACUGAAGAGAGGCAGUGGUGGCGGUGGAGAGAGGAGGGUGGGAGAAAUCGGAGAAGGCCGAAGCCACAACGACUUAUAUCAAUCUUCUUUUCUUUUUGGUACUUAGAAAUUUAAUUUUUCUCUUAGAAUUAAAAAUAAUUAUAUAAAGAUGAAAUUUAGAAAAUAUAUAGUAGUAUGAUUUUAUAUCAAUUUUCUUUUCUUUUUGACGUCUUUUUCUUAUAACAAGAAAAAAAUUGAUUUAUGCUUAAUUAAUUAAAAUUAAUUUUUAAUAUUAAUUUAGAUAAAUUUUAAUAUUAUAAUUUUUGAAAAUUAUUCAAUAAUUAAUUUAAAAUAUAUAUUAAAAUAAUAAAUAUUACUCUACUAUAAAAUGAAUAGAAAAUUAUUCAUUUAAAAUAAUUUCUUUUUACGAAUGCACAUCAUCUAUACAUUCACAUAUACCCAUCUUAAUUCAUUUCUUUUCAGUUUCUCCUCCCUAAUUAGAGUCAUCAUAUUUCAUCUCUCCCAAUUAUCAAUACUUGAACAAUUUAUGCGUUCUUGAGAUAUUGAAUCUUAUAAGCUCUUAAAAUAUUUUAUAAAAUAUUGAUGCUUAUAAAAUAGUGUUAAUAUAUAAGAGUACCCACUUUUAUAUAGUAAAAAUAAAUUUUACCCACUCAAAUAAAAACAUAAAAAAUACCCACUUUUUGUAUUAAAUGACUAAAUUACCCUUAUAUAUAAAUGGGCAAACCCUAGCCUCCUCUUAUUCUCUCAUUUUUUUUCUUUCUCUUCUCUCUCUCUCUGCAGGCCAAGAAUGCUUUGGAGAAGUUGGCCUAGCUACGACAUGAGGAACACUAUCAAAUGUGAUAAGAUCAAAGCAGGCGACAAGAAGAAGAUUGAGGAAGCUUUAGAGUCUGCUAUUGAAUUGUUGGAGGCAAACAAACUUGCAGAAGUUGGUGAUUUCAAAAACAAGAUGAGAGCUGGAGAGCGUUUACAGCCCCAUCGCCGCCAAGAUGUCUUAAACCCGAUUUACAGAAUAUCGUGUGGCUCUUUAACUUCACUAUCAACUAUUUUCUGUAAUUUUGUUUUUGUAUUUUCUUUGUUUUUGCCCCUCUCUCUCUUUCUCUCUCUCGAUCUCUCUCGAUUCUGCUUCCGAUGGCGUCCAGCGGGGCCUGGCCUUGGCCGCGCCGCCCCGUCCUUCACCACGCCGCCGCCUCAGCGCCGCGCCGCCUCGGAUCUGCAUCGCCGCCUCGCUUCGGCUAGAUUUUGGGGAUUGAGAAUGAUUUAGAGAUUCUAGAUUUUGAGGAUUGUUCUUAUUCAAUUACUUUAAGAAAGUAUGCCAUUUAGAAGAUAAAUUUGAGGAAAAGUUGAAUUCAAUUUGAAUUUAAUCGGAAAAAAAUAUAAGUAACGAAGAAAUUAAUGAAAAUCGCGCAAUUUUGUAUAAAUGUUCUUGAAUUCACAACCAAGUUUAUGAAUUCACAACUGAAUUAUAGGCGUUGGUUGUGAAUUCACAAUUGAAAUAAUGUUGAUUGUGAAUUCAAGUUUUAUUGGUUGUGAAUUCACAACUUGAAAAAAUGUUGGUUGUGAAUUCAAGUUUUAUCGGUUGUGAAUUCACAACUUGAAAUAGUAUGGGUUGUGAAUUCACGCGAAUUCACAACCAACACUUGUUAUUCACAACCAAUACUUGAAUUCGAGUUGAAUUCACAACCAGUGAACAGUGGGUAUUUAUAAAAAUUUUAUAUGUAAGGGUAAAAUGGUAAAUGUGAGUAUUUUUUAAAUUUUUUAUAUUAGUGGGUAAAAUUUAUUUUUACUAUAUAAAAGUGGUUAUUUUCAAAAUCCACUCUAUAAAAUAUCUACAUAAACUUGGCCAAACACCCUCAUAAUCUCUAGCUGCAAACAGUAUAAAAUUUCUUACCGGCAGUAACUCGCAUUACAAAAUACAAUAUCAUCUGUAUGUCACCCUGUCUGAACCCAAAGAAAAAAAUAUGAAAUCUGAAUAUCGAAGGCUACAACUUUUUAGAAGGUCAAUACAAAACAAAAAUAGCAUACAUGCUUUGUAUGUACAUCAUUGUAUCUCUAUUUCUCUCCUUCUGUAUAGUUGUAUUGAUCAAGAAGAACAAGAAAGCAUGCACACGCCAGGACGAUACGCCCAAGCAGGAGGCAAGCGAGCAUAUUUUUCCAUCCCAGGUUGCUCAUCAUACGGCCUUGACAUGACCUUUAGUACC
rnacentral:lncRNA from 1 species